CAUCUUCUGUAUUAGUCUGCUCAGGUUGCAAUAGCAGAAUACAAUGGACAGUAUGCCUUAAGAAAUGGAAAUUUAUUUUCUCAUAGGUCUGAAGAUGGGAAGUGCAAGUUUACAGGACAUCUAGCUAUAUGUCCUUGCCUGACCUUUCCUGGGUGCCUUUGUGGAGAGAGAGACAGAGAGAGCAGGAUCUUUCUUUUUCUUCUUUAUAAAGUCACCAAUGAUGUCUUAUUAGGAUCCUACCCUCAUGACAACAUUUAAUUUUAAUUACUUUCUAAAAGUCAUGUCUCUAAAUAUAGUCACAUGGAGGGUUGGGGCUUCAACACAUGAAAUUAGGGGUGUGUGGGAGUAAACACAAUUCAGUCCAUAGCCCCAUUUCAGAAUUCUGGACCUUUGGUUAUAGGGGAAGUUGAGAGCAGAGGCUACUACAAGGCUAAUUUCAUUCUCUGGUGUCUCUUAGUAUAAGGAUACCAGUCCUAUUAGAGCAGGGUCUUACACUUAUGACCUCAUUUUUUUCAGUUUCUUCCUUUAAGAUAUUACCUACAAAUGCAGCCACACUGGAGGAUAAGGGCUUUGACCUAUACAUGUUUUGGAGGGGAGGCACUAAUAUUCAAUCUCUUUCAUCUUUCCACCUUGAAUUUUCUCCUCGCACCAUCUUCCAUGUCUCAGUAAACGAAAGCAUCAUUAUUAAUUAACUCCAGUCCACCAGUCAUGUUAUUGGCUGUAUCCUCAAUAUCUGUGAUGAGUUGGAUCAUGUUUCACUUUCUCCACACUUGCCUCUCUAACCAGGCCUAUUGCAAAAGACUCCUAACAGGUCUCUCUGCUUCCACUCAUGUUUCUCUACAAUCUCUUCUCCAUAAACAUACAUCGGAUUAUUUCACUCUCCUGCUCAAAGUCUUUCCAUACCUUUCAUAUCACUUAAUAUGAAAUCCACCAUUCCUGCCUUCGCUAUGAGGUCUAACAUGAUGCAUGAGGCUACAAACCUCCACCUCUCUCCUACUGCGUGGAUUGUGUUAUGAUACCUCAGUUACCUUCACCUUCUUACCAGGGCUCAUGCUUCUCCUUCUCCACUUUUACAUCUGCUCUUUUCUCUGUCUGGAAUGUUCUUUCCCUGGCUCCGUGCAUAGCUUGAUGCCUUCAUUAAGACCUGCGUACAAAGUGUCUGCUGCUCUUUCCAUGUCCUCCAUUAACCUUUUAAUUCCUCAGUGCUAAGUACCACUUUGGAAAAUCUGUUCUUACUUCCCAUAUUGCUAAAUCUAACAAAGACGUUUCAGCUUGUGUAUAAUUAAUGCUGCAGCACUUGACUCUUGGACACUCUUUCAUGCACUAUUCCUCUUUGUCUUUCAUUACACCAUUUUCUGAGUUAUUGAUUUAUUCAGGCAUCUUGGAGGCAUUGGGUAUGCAACAUGCGUGUCAUGAAUCUGACAUUCUACUGAGGGCAAAGGUAAUGAAUAAACAAGUGAAUGUACAGCAGGUCACAUCUAUAGGACAGGCCUUUUCUGACUACUUUGUAUAAGUAAUAGUUCUCCUUUUACUUUCUACUCCUUGGUUCUGUACUUAUUACCACAUUGCAUGCACUAGAAUGUAAACUCUCUGAUGACAGGAGGUUGAGAACUUUUUUUUAGCCCAUCUUUGCCAUGACUCCUGUUUUCAAAAUACUGCUUGGCUUGUGGUCUUAGUAGUCCAAUAAAUAUUUGCUGAGUUCCUAAGUCAUUGUAUUAUUAAGCAAAAAAGAAUACCACUGUUUGAUGCCUUCCAUUUUGGUGUGACUUCAAGUCAUUUUAUUUUCUUUAUUUUUGAUGCGGAUGAUUCACUUAUCCACAGUUUUUAGAAAGUGUGUAUAGCAUCCACAUAGUCCUGAAGGAAGCUGGGUGCAGUGUACACCUUUACAAUAAAAUUUCAAAGAGAAGACAGUUAUGGGUCACUCUGCUGCUUGUCCCCAGGGAGAGGUUUAUAAUGCAAAAGGUAGAGAAGAAAACUGUGAACUAUUUUUCUCUUGAUUUAAAUGAGAGGAUCAGUGUGCCUGAACAACCUUGCCUAUAUCGGUGGUUCAGUGGGGAAGAAGUCAAGGCAAGUCCACAUCCAGUUGAUCACCUCCUUUAUAUAAUUUCUAGAAAUAAUUUCAAUAGCCCUGGCUGUGCCAUCAUUUUUGCUGUUCCUCAGGUAUGUUUUGGUCAGUUGUGGGAAACAAAACUAAUUCUUCAAGCUCCAAAAUUUACUGGCAAAAUCUCAGUGAUGCUGAGGAGCUUAUAACAUUCUAGAAAAGCACCACAGUGUAGAGUGAGUGUGGAAAAUCCAAGUGAGAAAAUGAAUGCAUUUUUAUUGUUUUUACUGUUAGAAACACAUCACACUUAAUGAAUUGUGGUGUGCAAAUGUUCCCUUUUGAAUCCAUAAUAAAACCCUGUUUCGGAAUGUAAGACACAUACAUAUACAUAGACGCACACACACACACAUAUUUAGAAAUACAGCAUCUUGAGGAUCAAGUGUUGAAAAUUGCACUUUUGUUGAUUACAAUAGAAUGGUAGACUCAAGCUUCUAUUUGAUACUUGAGUUGUGUCCUUCUGUUUGGAAGUGGGAAAUGAAACUUGCUGUCUUUGCAUUGAUGGAAGCAGCAAGCUCACUUAUUACAGAGGCGUCCAGUCCUUGGCAGCGUAUCUCACCCAGUCCACCUCCCACAUUUGGCAUUAAGUAUUCCCCAGUGAGAAGUCUUCUCUCUAUGCCAAGUUUGAGAAGUUCUCUACUUCCUCCUCUAACAUCCCUGCCAUCCAAAGAAUCCUGCUAAAGUGGUGGCCCUUCGGCCGUAUGAUUUGUGGCAAGAACUUUGAAGACAAAACCCAUUGUUUUUUCUUUUUGCUUCUUAGGGCUGCACCUGUGGCAUGUCAAGGUUCCCAGGCCAGAAGGUGAAUCAGAGCUACAGCUGCUGGCCUACACCACUGCCACAGCAAGGCAGGAUCCAAGCCACAUUUGCAACCUAUACCACAGCUCACGGCAGCUCUGGAUCAUUAAUCCACUGAGCAAGGCCAGGAAUUGAGCCUGGAUCCUCACGGAUUCUAGUUGGAUUCGUUACCACUGAGUCACAACAGGAACUCCUCAAAAUCCAUUUUUUAAGCAAUCUAAAUUUUACUUCAUCCUUAUUGUCACCUUUCUCGGUGGGGAGGUGGCUGGUGGUGGUCAUGAGAGUGGGAAAUCCCUGACUUGACAAGAUGUGGUAGGCAGUAUUCUGGAUCAUCCUCAAGAUUCGUACCCCUCAGUGGUACCCAAUCUUGUGUACUUCCUUCCCCAUGGGGAUAAGAGGAGCCUACAAUUCGCUUCUAACUAACAGAAUAUGGCAAAAGUGAAGAGGAUUUUCUUAGAUGUGAUUAAGGUCCCCAAUCUUUUGACUUGGAUUUAAUCAAAAGGGAGGUUAUUCUGAGUGUCCUGGACCUAAUCUGGCAAGUCCUCCUCUGAAGUUAGAGACUUCAGACUCUAAAGUCUGACUCUGAAAAAACAAAAUACCUUGAAUGCUAAAGCAGAAAGGAAAUGAAUUAUGCUAAUGAACUGAGGGAGCUUAGAAGUGAAUCUUUUUCUAAUCCAGCCUCUGGAGAAGAACACCACUCAGCCAACAUCUUGGUUUCAUUUCUGUGAGCUCCUGAGCAGUAGCACCCAAGUAAAAUGGGUCUAGACUCCUGGCCUAUAGAACCUGUGAAAUAAUAGACAUGUCGGUUAAACUGUUAAAUUUGUAGUAACAUAUUACACAGCAUAGAAAACUGUUGCACAAGGUAUAGGAAGUUGAAAAUGGUCCCUGAGCAAAGACAAGGAUUUGAGGCAUUAGACCUGCUCUUUGCUAUCCCUGCAAAAGGGAAUAAUGAAUACUGAUGAAAUUCCAGCUUUAGAGUUCUUGAUAAGCUGAAGCUCUAGAUGGAGUCUUAAACAUGUCUAUUUAUUUGGCUCAUAAUAUCAUCUUUUAUAAAUCUCACAUUUUCACCCCCAUCUUCUAAACCUAUGUUAUUAUUUUCCUCUGUAUACUCAAUAGACUGCGCAAUUCAUGUGUUUGUCAAGUGAAAAAAAAUGCACCUUCAUCUGGAUAAAAACCAAAAAAAAAAUCAGUGAUUUGGAGCACUUCAAAUACACAGAUAUUUAGUGUUGAAUAAACUAAUAUUCUGGAUGGUUGACUGAUGUGAAUUUUCUUUCAUUUGGAUAUUUUGGGACCAUGCAGAUAUACAACCUGAAGCUGUAGAUAAUGAUUAAAAGCCAGAUUUGUUUGUUAGUAAUGACAAUAUAUAAUUUGAUAACAUGAAUUAGAGUCUUUCAGAGCCUGUGCCUAUGUGUAUUUGAUAAAGUGUUUCUACUUUUCCACUAUACCAGAGUUUCAUAUACACUCAAGGUGAGUUAUAAUAAUACAGCCUUCCAGAUAAUUAAAUUUACAUUUCUAGUUCACUUCCCAUAAGUGGAAUUUUUUAUUUUGUUUUCUCUUGUUCAUUGCACCCAGUUCAUUCUUAAAUGCCCAGUCUCACCGGCAAUGAUUUGUGGCAAUAGAAGAAUACCACACUUGAAAAUAGGAAAGAGAGAGGGAUUCAAUGUGGCAGAAUAGAGACAUUCUUGUUGGGUCUAUCUUGGAGAAUUCUAAUUCGGCAGGAUAGACAGUGACACGGAGUCUGCCAUUCUGAAAUACAACUAUGUAUAAACAUGUGUAACUGAUGAUUUUAUUGUACCACCACAUUACUGGUCACCAAGAAUCCUUCACAGAUAGCCACACAAAAUUGGUGCCUUCAAGUUUUUUCAGUGAAGUGGGUGAGAGAUUGUUAUUUCACAAAUAAUUCUAAUUUAGUUAUGCAGACUGCUACCUUUGGAAUGGAUUAGCAAUGAGAGCCUGCUGUGUAGCACUGGGAACUAUGUCUAGUCACUUAUGACGGAGCAUGAUAAUGUGAGAAAAAAGAAUGUAUACAUGUAUGUGUAACUGGGUCACCAUGCUGUAUAGUAGAAAAAAAAAUAAUGUAUU
rnacentral:lncRNA from 1 species